rnacentral:rRNA from 1 species
GAUGAACGCUAGCUACAGGCUUAACACAUGCAAGUCGAGGGACCGGCGCACGGGUGAGUAAAACGUAUCCAACCUGCCCUUUACUCGGGGAUAGCCUUUCGAAAGAAAGAUUAAUACCCGACAAAAAGGAUGGGGAUGCGUUCCAUUAGGUUGUUGGUGAGGUAACGGCCCACCAAGCCGUCGAUGGAUAGGGGUUCUGAGAGGAAUGUCCCACACAUUGGAACUGAGGCACGGUCCAAAAUCCUACGGGAGGCAGCAGUGAGGAAUAUUGGUCAAUGAGCGGUAGCCUGAACCAGCCAAGUAGCGUGAAAGAUGAAGGCUUAUUGGUCGUAAACUUCUUUUAUAGAAGAAUAUGUAUUAUAUGAAUAAGGAACGGCUAACUCCGUGCCAGCAGCCGCGGUAAUUC